UGCUGUUACUUUACAAUAAAGCACCAAUCCAAUUAUUUAUUUUUUAUAAAAAAAAUAAAUUUGAAGAUACUCUUAAUAUCAAGCUCUAAGAGUAAAAUUCGCAUUAAUAAAGAAAUUACUUUAGAAAAGUUACCUUAAAAAUGUGGAACGCUUCACAAUAUUGCGGAAAUAAAGCGUUUGUUCUUUAUCGUAAAAUUUGAGCACUCUGAUUCAAUCUGUAAAAUUGGACAAGUUCCAAUUUUUCCGAAAACUUGCCACUAAUAAAUCUGCGGUUUUCUUGGGUCCUCAAAAUCUCAAAAUUUUCUCACGUCUUCUAUUACAGAAUGAURAAAAUUGYUGUUGCUUUGCAAUAAAGCUCCAAUCCAAUUAUUUAUUUCUUAUAAAAAAACAAACUUGAAUUGAGCAAGCUCUAUUGCAUCAAGCUCUAAGAGUAAAAUUCCCAUUAAUAAAGAAAUUAAUUUAGAAAAGUUGCCUUAAAAAUGUGGAACGCUUCACGAUCUUGCGGAAAUAAAGAAUCUGUUCUGUAUUAUUUGGGGCAAAAUACCUAAGAAAAAAAUUUUUAAAACAUGAAUCCGGCUCAACCAUAUAGAACAUCGAACUUGUCUAAACUAAGUAAGUAGGUAUGCAAAUAGUUCCAUUAUGUUCAUUAGAAGCUUAUUUUGACUUUUCUGCUGAAUAUAUUUUCACUCUUGUCCCGAACAAUUUUUCAAUGUAAAAAAAUUUAUAUUAUUUUGAAUGAAUUAGUAAGCCAUAUGGAAGGUGCAACUUAAACUCGAUUUUAACAAACUGUUGUAAAUAGAAAGACACUCUCAUUGGCCGAAAGAGGAUUAUCACGUUGCAAAUAAAAAUACUGAAAAAUCUGACUAGAGCCCGAAGAAAGUGAAUAAAAAGCAAGGAAAAUUGCAGAAACAUUCUCUGGCAGAGGUCGUCACUCUCUGGUAAACUAUUGCCAAAAAUCUCCGUGAUGGUACCGGAGGCGCUCAAGUUCAGUGACAGGACGUACUAUCAGUGGGUCAUCAAUGGACGGCGCGCGUCAUGACGCUCCGCCCCACCAUAAAACCGAACUCGUAUUUAAAGACCCCGGUACCAGUUUCUUAAGUUAUUCCGGUUCAUACUGUCGUAAGUUCGCCGUCUCUUCUACUACGCUCCAGUUGUCUUACACGAUCGAAAUAAAUUCACUUAUAAUUUUUUUUUAAAUAUUUUUUACCAUGGCUGGUCUUGAUCCUACUGGCAACUACUAGUGCCCUUUUUUAUUAGUGCAAAUUUUCUUCAUAUUUGAUUGUGAACGGUACUUUUCAAUUAAUACAAAAUGGCCAUUGGAAAACUCGACCCUACUGGACAGUACUAACCGGUUAAAGUGAAAACGACGAAAACUAACAGUGAUAGUGAAAAACAUUCUUAUUCCUUCAAUUUAAUUUUUCGCAAUGGCAGGCGGACUCGACCCCACUGGCCAAUAUUAGCAGACAUCAACAAUCCAGCGUUCCAGUGAUUUUUAAGUUUUCAAAUCAGCUACAAUGGAAAGAAAAGGAUUAGAUCCAACUGGCCAAUACUAAGAGCUAGAGAAUUUUACCAAAACCCAGUCUCAUUAACAAACUAGAAAUUUUGUUUUAAAAUGCACGGAAAAAUCUUAGAUCCGACGGGUGAAUAUUAGACCGCAUAAAACAGUAAACUUGAAACUCUAACAAAAUGGAAAGAAAAGGACUUGACCCUACCGGCCAAUAUUAAGCAGCAUUGCAGCCCUUGUGUUUAUUUUAACUUAAUAAUGGAGCAGAAAGGUCUGGACCCCACUGGCCAAUAUUAGGCAAAUUAUAAAAAUUGCACUGCCUUCCACGCACUACAAACAAUGGAAGGAAAAAAGCUGGACCCCACAGGCAAUUACUAAGAGCAUCCAAAUCGUUUCCUAGUCGAAAUCAUUUACAAGAUGCCUUCGUCCAAACGCCUGCAAAUUGUAAGCAGAAAGCAAACCCACCCAAAAAUAGACAGAAUCGACCAUACUUUCUACAGACUAAAAGAUUGGGGUCAUUCCGGACUCGUGUGGAAGUAGUUUGGGUUAGUUUUUAUAUAUACGACAAUUAUUCAAGCCAAGUUGUUGUAAAUUUACCAAACAACUCAGCUUUCUUCUGUCUUAAAACAAACUGUUCCUUCUGGAACUCCAGCAAUUCAGCCCAUCGACAACAAAAACUUCCGUCCAGUGAUUAUUCAAAUUAAUCUGCAAGAACAGUCAGAAUAAGUGAUGAUACAAGUGUUUUUUACUCUGAACUGUCCAGUGAUUUAUCACGAGCUUGCAAGCUCUCGAAGCUCCAAGUUCCACUGCAUUUUCCUGAUGUGGUGCCACCGCGACAAGGGAGACGGAGGUCCCCCAGAAACAUCCAGCAGCAGACGAAAUAGAUACUGAUAGAAUGGAUCUAAAUACAAUGUAACUACACUGCCACACGAGUUACCCAACCUAUCCGGAUGUUUAAAGACUGAUGUUUUGUUGAUUUUAGUAUUUUUAAGUUUGUUUUUAUUAAAUUAUAUAACUAGUUUAAGUCUAUUACACUUAAAGAUUGUAUGUAAUAUUAAAACUGCCUCUGCAAACAUCAAAAGGCAUUAACAUUGUAUUAUUCUAAAGUUCUGCCGAAAAAAUGGCGACAGGUUUUGAAAUACGCAGCUUAUUCGAGUUCAAAAUAUUCAUUAUAUAAUUGACUAUUUAGUAGGUAACUUUGUAUAUAAUAGUUUGUUGAAUGUACUGUUUUUUUUUCGUUGACAUGUUUUUCUGUUAACAUGGACAGGUGCUCUAAAAAUUGAAAAUUAUAAAAUUUGGCAAGUAUAAUACUGUAAAACAUGUCAGGCAAAACGAUUACGAGUAAAUUUGCGAAAAGAAAACAUUUAUAUUUACUAAUACAGCAAACUAAAUGUUGAAAUUUAAAAUAGCUACUCCAAUGUACGUGCAUAAAUAAAAAAAAACAUAUUUAGAGGCCUGUAUUGUGACAAUUUGCAUGUAUCACCAACCAAACAAUUAUUUUGUAAUAACCAUUUGGCUUGUUUUUCUAUCCAUACCUUGUACCUACAUGUUUACAUUUUUUUAAAAUAAAUUACUAUUUUAUA